rnacentral:rRNA from 1 species
UAAUACGGAGGGUGCAAGCGUUGUCCGGAUUUAUUGGGUUUAAAGGGUGCGUAGGUGGCGUGUUAAGUCAGUGGUGAAAGCCUGCAGCUCAACUGUAGAGGUGCCAUUGAUACUGACAUGCUUGAGUAUGGACGAGGUAGGCGGAAUUUGUGGUGUAGCGGUGAAAUGCAUAGAUACCACAAAGAACACCGAUAGCGAAGGCAGCUUACUGGACCAUAACUGACACUGAGGCACGAAAGCGUGGGGAGCGAACAGGAUUAGAUACCCUGGUAGUCCACGCCGUAAACGAUGCUAACUCGAUGUAUGCGAUAUACUGUAUGCGUCCAAGCGAAAGCGUUAAGUUAGCCACCUGGGGAGUACGCUCGCAAGAGUG